CGAUAGCAGGAGGAGAGCAGAAACAUAGAAGUUGGAGUGAAAAAACUCGUUAAAACACUUGAUAUUGUGCACACUGUUAAAAAAAGAGGAAUGAACUGUUCGAGCUCAUACGUGAGUGUCCGGUGAACCAUGGAGAAGCGACCCUGGGAACCUUACCUGUGUUUAUUCUUUUCUUUUCUUUUCUCAGCUGGGUUUUUUGGAUACCCUGGAUUUUGGAUGGAACUGGAUUCUCUCCCUGACGAGGGGGAUGGCGAGCCAACCGUGUGAACAUCUGGACUGAAGAGGACCCUCUCCUCUUUCAUCUGUCAUCCUGUCGGUGUGGUAGGACCAAGAAAGACUCACAGAAAUUGAGAGGAACUAUUCUUUUUUUUAUUAUUUUUGGAAAAGAAGAGACAUUUUAUUUUUUUAAAGGGUGCACCCAAUUUAAAAGACACUUUAAAAGAAAACAAACUGAAAGCUGGCUGUAUUUGUAAAGGUGCUUUAUUUUUUUGUGUUAAUACAUUGAUCUUGUUCAAACUUA